rnacentral:rRNA from 1 species
UACGGAGGGUGCGAGCGUUGUCCGGAAUCACUGGGCGUAAAGGGCGCGUAGGCGGCCCGGUAAGUAGGAGGUGAAAUCUUGCGGCUUAACCGCAAGGCUGCCUUCUAAACUGCCAGGCUCGAGCACAGUAGAGGCAGGUGGAAUUCCCGGUGUAGCGGUGGAAUGCGUAGAGAUCGGGAAGAACAUCGGUGGCGAAGGCGGCCUGCUGGGCUGUUGCUGACGCUGAGGCGCGACAGCGUGGGGAGCAAACAGG